rnacentral:tRNA from 1 species
GGUUCUAUAGUGUAGUGGUUAGCACUCUGGACUUUGAAUCCACCGACUCGAGUUCGAAUUUCGAUAGAACCU